CGCAACUGCCCACAAAUUCCAAAACCAAAAAAAAUUCCUCUCAAUCCCCUUCCCUCCAAUUCUCCACUUCCCCAUCCAUGGCAACCGCCGCCGCAGGCGAUGAUCCACCGUCACCGCCGCCGCCAGCGGAGCGGCCCGGAGGGUGGUUCUCCGGCCUGGUAUGCGGCGCCGGCCGCCUCCUCGCCGCCGUGCUCGGCCCGGACUCCCCCGACUCCGGCACCGGCGGCUCCGCUUCCUCCUCGCAGGAGUCGUCGUCCCAGUCUCCGCCGCCUCCGCGCGGCCACCGCGGCAGUGGCGAUAAUACUGCGCACUUUGCUUCUAACAAUCAGUUCAACCAGAGCGGAAAGGAGAUUACUCUAAAAGACAGUGGUGUGGGAUCCUUAGCACUUGUCUCAGAGAUAGAUCCCAAGGAUGCUAUACUGCAGAUGCUUUUGCAAGAAACGUACUCAAGAUCGGAAUGUGAUAUACUGAUAAAGAUAAUUCACGAGCGGGUUGUGGACUCAGACCCUGAUGUGGUUGAACCUUCUAUUGUUCUUCCAAUUGCUUGGCAAACUAGCCAACAGCAAGAUCAUGUUCCAUACUCUUCAUUUCGUCCAAACACUUGCUCUGCGAGUUCAAAUGUUCAUGAUUGUAGCCAACAGCUUGACAACAACAUUGUUGAGAACGGAUGGCUUGAAGAGAGUCAGCAUGCUCUGAAAAGAAGUAAUUCUUGCACUGGACAUAACCUCGAUGAGUCUCACUCCCGAAGUGUCAGACCAAAGCUAAAUGAUUUGAACAUUUCAAAUAGGCAGGAUGGUAUUCUUAAGAGUCAUUCAGAUAUAGCUUCAUUUGAAGAGGCAACCACCAAGUACCCUAAUGCAUUCAGGGGGAUACCAGAAGAUACAAAGAAGCUGUUCAAAGAUAUCCCCCUUCUCGGGACGGACAACCUAAUAUUUUCCAACAUUGUUUCAUAUGAUGACACUGAUAAUGACAUAUCAGCUCUCCGUGGUAAGCGUCCUGCUGUAACUGCACGGACCUUUGCUUCAGCCACUAGUGAAGCCAACCGGGAUAACCGUUGUCCUACCAUGCUCUAUCCAUACUCUGAUCGGGACCUGACAAAUACCUUUCCUAUUAAGGUGGAACCUUUGGAUGAUAUUGUUCCUUUUGAUCCUGAAAUAGUAGUCCUUUCACGCAAAAACCGUAACACAGGCACCAUCUGCAAUGACCCUUGUUCUGUUUCAAAACUUAUGUUUCAAGAGGACAAGGAGGCUGCGCCCAGUUCAUCAACAGGCGUGCCGCUUGAAAACAGUCCUAGGAAUUGCACAGGAGCUAGCCUGCAAAGGAGCACUCAAACUAGGAGAAGUUCACCUGCUAAUGUAUAUCGUCGCCAAUACAUUGACAGCAGAACCCGAUCAAGGAGUGGUCCAUCACAUCAAGGCGAACCGAUAGCGGUUGGCCAGGAGCCAGACUUGGCUCCAACCCAGGCGAAGAAACCGGUUGGGAGGCCAAGGAAGUCAAGAAGGUGAGGUACUGGAAGGCCAGCAGAAGAUGAAGAAUGCGCAAGAUCAGAACUGUAAAAGGCUCACUCCAGGCGGAGCAGGUUAAUCCCUACCAGAAGUACAGAACAGCAUGCAGGACAUGUACCACCAAGCUAAAGUCUGUCCGGAUAAUUAAACCGUGUAUAUAUGUACGAAUUUUCCAAAGUGCACCUAGAGCACAUGUACAGAUGUAACAUACACAGGAUUUUAGCUUGCUAAAGCUAACCAUAUAAGUACAGUAUAUAUAGUAUUGUACUCCCUCCGUUCAAAAAAAAAAACAAACCCUAAAUUUCCGUGUUUAACGUUUGACUGUCU